rnacentral:ribozyme from 1 species
AAAAAAAAAAAAAAAAAAAAAAACAAAGAAAAACACUACGUUGGAAGAAAGCUUGCGGAAACAGUCGGAAUCCCUUUUUGGAGUCUUCUCGUUGUGUCCUGCUCCUUGCCCUCUCCAUCUCCGGGUGGUUGGACUUUAAAACGGAGAACGUAUGAGAAUGUGCGU